UCCCCGUUACCGGGGCAGUCUAGCCAGAAAAAUUCAACUGACUAUAAGGGUUGCGCUCGUUGAUGGACUUAACCAAACAUCUCACGACACGAGCUGACGACGGCCAUGCAUCACCUGUCACUGCGUUCCCGAAGGCACAGUUUCCUUUCGGAGACUUUCACAGGAUGUCAAGCCUGGGUAAGGUUCUUCGCUUAUCUUCGAAUUAAACAACACGCUCCACCGCUUGUGCGGGUCCCCGUCAAUUCCUUUAUGUUUUAGCCUUGCGGCCGUACUCCACAGGCGGGAUGCUUAACGCGUUAGCUUCGCUACUACCGGGGUCGAUACCGAUAACAGCUAGCAUCCAUCGUUUACGGCGUGGACUAC
rnacentral:misc_RNA from 1 species